AGUAGUCUUCCAAACUUGACUGCGUUGUAGCUAUUGAAAUAAAGUAUUACGAGUCUGUGCCCCGUGCCGCGGAAUUAUUGAAUUUGUGGUUCUUCUCUAGGUUCAUAGAGUAUUGUUUAUUUACACUUUUACGUUGAGUUGACUUUGUGACGAAACCUAAUAAAGUAAUUUAAAAGUCGAAACUAAAAAGGAAACUGGCACCCUACAGGGCCGCCUCUGUAAGGCAGCUUGAGAUUCUGUUAGAAGUUGCUGAAAGCAACUCAAAUAUUGCACUCGGUGGGCUCGGUGGAGGACCUCUCGGCCGCCAGGUAGCUCUUAAUAAUGGGAAGAGCUUUCCAGAAAGCUCAAUUCUGUGGGGGCAGGGUGUAUUAAACCUUCGUGGAGUGGAAGCGAUAUCGGAUACUGCUUAAGAGCCCCACAAAAGGCAAGGCUGGAGACUUGCGACGAGCAGCCACUGGCACUGGAGGUGAACCAAAUUUCAACACUUCUUUGACCCCUAUCGAAGAACAAUAUAAGUAUAAUUGGGAACGUGGCAGUAGAGGGAGAACCCAAAAUCCAGAUUCCUAUAAAUGAAUCAUAGAUUCCUGACCUGCCU